GCUCUCACUCUGUCUCCUGCCAGCCAUGUGAAGGUGUGCUUACUUCCCCUAUGCCUUCCACUGUGAUUGUAACUUUCCUGAGGCCUCCCCAGCCAUGCAGAAACUGGUCACUCUGGCAACUCUGUGGAGAAUAGACCUAGAGGGAGAUGGUGGAAACAUGAAGACCAGCAAGGAAAGAACUACAAUAAUUCAGGUGCCACUCUGAAGAAGUUGGAUGACUUUUUAACUUGGACCAGACUCAGUGAUUCAAAACAGUUUCUUGGCCACAUCCUUUCCAAUUGAAGCUGAAAAUGGGCAGAUGUGUAAACAACCCUGGACAAAGAGGAAAGCACCAACCUCCAUGUACUUAUUCAAACCAGAAGCCAAGGAUAAUCCUUUAGCAGUGUUGAUCAUAAUCCUGAAAAUGGGGAGAAGUAAAAGACAUAGAGCUCAUUUGGGGAACAUUUCAAGUCAAGUGAGAGAGAAUUAUGACCAAGGGACAGUUGAAAUGAAGGUUGAGAAGAAAAACCUGGCCCUUGUUCUUAGCCACUUUAAUGAAGCAUCACUUGCCACAGAGAGGGGAAAAUAGCAAUUUGCAUUCUGAGAUAAUUUAAGACUAACCUUUAACUAUAUGUGCAUUAAUGUAUGGCUAAAAAUAUGUAUCAAGAUUUUAAAAUUAUUAAAGGAAGCUUACAGAUGAUAAAGAAGAUAAAUAUUUGAAAGAAAAAUUAAUCUUUGAAUAUAUAGUCUGCUCUUAACAAGAAGCACUAUGUGAUUUUAUUCUUUGAUAGCAAAGAUUGUUAUAAUUAUUAAAACACUCUCACUCAAGA